UUGCGGCUGUCAAACUUAGUUGACACACCAUUCAAAACAAAUGUCACGUGAGUGAACGAAACAAAGAAGUAGCUGAUGCUCGUAUUAUCCUCAUGAUUUUUUUGUGGUAUGGAACACGUUAAUAGAUUCAGUGUUAAAUAACAGUGGUUUAUUGACGUCCUACUAAGGUUCACGGGGAUCCAUUGGAUGCAGGCAGCGCAUAAUCGGUAGUUGUGGCGUGGCUUGGGAGCAGUGGACGUGGGUUGAAAGAUAGAUAGAUUACCUGUUUAGCAUUUAUGAAACUGCAGAAAUGUGCGACCGUGAAAUAAAACCGCUGAACGUAAUAUAUCGGGUUCUUUUAAAAUGUUCAGUGAAAAGUGAAAGCCAUUAUUUUUCUGAGACUUUAUUGAAAUAAAGUCCCAUCUCAUCUCGCUUAAUUUUAUUUCGUCCCAAUUGAUUUAAGUCUCAAAUUAAUCAACUUCAUCUCAUUUUUCAUAUUAAAAUUGAAUGAAAAUUUUAA